CUCACGGUCAACGGCUUCGGCAAGGGCAAGGACGGUGGCCUCCCGUCCGAGUGCGACGGCGCGUACCACGACGACUCGGAGAUGGCCGUCGCGCUCUUCACCGGCUGGUUCAGCGGCAUGUCCCGCUGCGGCCGCAGCAUCAAGAUCACGGCGAAGGGCGGCAGCUCCAUGCACGCCAAGGUGGUGGACGACGUCGUGGACGCCUCGCCGGUGGUGUGGGACGCCCUAGGCCUCGACCAGAGCAUCGGUUUGCAGGAUGUCACCUGGUCUGAUGAGUAA
rnacentral:rRNA from 1 species